ACCGAAAUAGCUCAGUUGGGAGUUAAACUAUAGAUCGAAAAGUCCCUGGUUCGAUCCCGGGUUCCGGAA
rnacentral:tRNA from 1 species